ensembl:lncRNA
UCAUUGCCUCGUCUCUCCAAUCAGCAGCCAAUAGGAACCAGAGGCUGAUGUCACCUGAUGCAUAUGAUGUCUUUAUGGGAGGACUUUGUCCCCGGAAACCGAUCCGACUUCUUCACUCACACGACAAGGUCACAGAGCUUCAUCAGUCCUCCUCAGAAGCACCGUCCUGUCCUCUGAUGAGCGGUAGCGGUCUUUCGGAAAAAGCCAGCUCCAUGGAGAAGGUCCUCCUGGGCAUGGCUUGUGUGUCAGUUGUCCUGCAGCUCGUUGGUUUCCGGGCUGCGUGGUGUAAAUGUAAAGAGGUGAAAACACUUCUUGAGGCACCUCCAGCAGAGGAUGGGAGAUGAGGCCCAUAUGGCUCAGAUGGUCUCCACACUAAUGCAGCAGAAGAAGGGAGAUGAGGACAAACUGGCUCAGAUGGUCUCCACUCUCCAGCAGCAAAAGGAAAAUGAGGUCAAACUGUCUCAGAUGGUCUCCACUCUCCAGCAGCAGAAGAAGGAAAAUGAGGUCAAACUGGCUCAGUUGGUUUCCAAAAUAAAGCAGCAUUGGACCGGACUGGAGGAAACCAAAGAUCAACUCGCAAGUCUACUUGAGAAGGUGAAGACUGAGAAGGUGGAGAACAAGAAGGAGCUUCAGUCUGUGGAGGAUGAAAUAAGGGAGAGAGAAAAGCAGUCGGACAAACCGAAGGAGUUAGUAACAGCCAAAGAGAACCUGCUGAAGGCUCAGUGGAAACUAGACGAGACAAAGAAGAACUAUGAGAGACUCAAAAUGAUGAUGGAGAACCUGAUGGAGCUCCAGAGUUCAUCUGUUCUACCUUGAUGAUCCCUGAUAACUUGAUGGAAGUCCUGUAUCUUUCUCUCUGGAUUAAAAGGUGAAGUGAACGUAUUUUUCUUGCAACGUGUUUUUUUACAGACAUGAAAAUAUUCAGUUUUUUUCUUUGUUCCAUCUUUCUUCCUUUUGUUGCCGUUAGUUUGAUGUAUAAAGUGAUAUGAGA